rnacentral:rRNA from 1 species
UACGAAGGGGGCUAGCGGUUGUUCGGAUUUACUGGGCGUAAAGCGCGUGUAGGCGGGUCGUUAAGUUGGGGGUGAAAUCCCGAGGCUCAACCUCGGAACUGCCUUCAAAACUGGCGACCUGGACCUAAGUAGAGGCAGUGGAAUUGCGAGUGUAGAGGUGAAAUUCGUAGAUAUUCGGCAGGAACACCAGUGGCGAAGGCGACUUGC